UUGACCUCGGAUCAGGUAGGGAUACCCGCUGAACUUAAGCAUAUCAAUAAGCGGAGGAAAAGAAACCAACCGGGAUUGCCUCAGUAACGGCGAGUGAAGCGGCAAGAGCUCAAAUUUGAAAGCUGGCUCCUUCGGGGUCCGCAUUGUAAUUUGCAGAGGAUGCUUCGGGUGCAGCCCCCGUCUAAGUGCCCUGGAACGGGCCGUCAUAGAGGGUGAG
rnacentral:rRNA from 1 species